rnacentral:rRNA from 1 species
UGGGGAAUAUUGCACAAUGGGCGCAAGCCUGAUGCAGCGACGCCGCGUGGGGGAUGACGGCCUUCGGGUUGUAAACUCCUUUCGCUAGGGACGAAGCUCUUUGUGACGGUACCUAGAUAAGAAGCACCGGCUAACUACGUGCCAGCAGCCGCGGUAAUACGUAGGGUGCGAGCGUUGUCCGGAAUUACUGGGCGUAAAGGGCUCGUAGGUGGUUUGUCGCGUCGUCUGUGAAAUUCCGGGGCUUAACUCCGGGCGUGCAGGCGAUACGGGGAUAACUUGGGUACUGUAGGGGUAACUGGAAUUCCUGGUGUAGCGGUGAAAUGCGCAGAUAUCAGGGGGAACACCGAUAGCGAAGGCAGGUUACGGGGAAGUUACUGACGCUGAGGAGCGAAAGCAUGGGUAGCGAACAGG